rnacentral:lncRNA from 1 species
AAAAAGAAAAGGAGUACUCACUAGUCAGUAGUAAUGUAAUCUCUCUCUCUCCCUCUCUCUCUCUCUCUCUCUCUCUCUCUCUGUGUAAUCUAUGUCUCUCUCUCUCUGUCUCGACAUUAAUUAACUCCUUUUUUUACUUUAAUUAGUAAAAAAAAGAAAAAAGAAGAAGAAGAAGAAGAGGAGACGGAUAGAAACUGUGGGUUUAAAAAAAAGAAGAAGAAAAAAAGAGAUGGACUUAAUUUGGAUGGAAAAGAUUGUAGAUCGAUUAUUAUUUUAUUUUAUAAGCAAUAUUGGGUUCCAGACCUAGAUAUGUUAGCUUUAAUGUCAAUUAUUUUUUUAUUAUUACAUCGAUCCUAUUCUUUGAUGAGCCGCUUUUUCUUUUUUUAUUUUACUUUGUUGCA